GAGGGUACAGCUCAGUGUAGAGUGCCUGCUUAGCGUGCACAAGGUCCUGGGUUCAAUCCCCGGUACCUCCA
rnacentral:tRNA from 1 species